rnacentral:rRNA from 1 species
AAUCAACGCUGGCGGCGUGCCUAACACAUGCAAGUCGAACGAGAAAGUGGAGCAAUCCAUGAGUAAAGUGGCGACCGGGUGAGUAACACGUGACUAACCUACCCUAGAGUGGGGGAUAACCUCGGGAAACCGGGGCUAAUACCGCAUAACAUCGCGAGGGGAAGAUCCUUGCGAUCAAAGGAGCAAUCCGCUGAAGGAGGGGGUCGCGGCUGAUUAGUUAGUUGGUGAGGUAACGGCUCACCAAGACGAAGAUCAGUAGCCGGCCUGAGAGGGCGCACGGCCACACUGGAACUGAAACACGGUCCAGACUCCUACGGGAGGCAGCAGUGGGGAAUUUUGCGCAAUGGGGGAAACCCUGACGCAGCAACGCCGCGUGGAGGAUGAAGUCCCUUGGGAUGUAAACUCCUUUCGAUCGGGACGAUUAUGACGGUACCGGAAGAAGAAGCACCGGCUAACUCUGUGCCAGCCGCCGCCGUAACAC